AACAGCACCCUCAUAAUUUCAUGAGACAUAGAAUUAAACACUAUAAACAAGGUAAGAACGUUUUUCUCCUCACACUUUACGUAUUUCAGGGUAUAUGCACCUGAGAUUGCACUUCAAAAGCUUUAACACGGCAUAGGAGGUAGAGUCAGCUUGCUUCCCAUCAUUUUCAAAGGGUGAAGAGAAAAAAAAAAAAAAAAAAGAAAAGAAAAACUGUCCAUGUUACAUCAACAACAGGUAUGAACUUGAUUUCUGGAGCAAGAGAGUCUCUUCGCUUUUUUAAGGUUGUGCAACUCGUUCUUUCGAACGGGGUGUUUCUCCCUUUCAGGAUGGUUUUACUGUCCACAGUCACGAAAGACUAGCUAGGUCGUUUUAAGCCAUGCAUAGCUCUUCUAAUCACUAUUAAUUCUCUUUUCCCACUUUUUCUUUAGAAAGAAUGGAAAACAACAACAAAAACCAAAUCUGCAUUUUUUGCUUGCUGGCAGAUUUCCAAGAUAAAUAGGACUGUGCUCUGCCUGGAACAGCAGUCAGGCCUGCUCUCGAAAUUCACAAAAGAACACCACACACGGAGAAAAAGCGAUGGAUCUGACCGGCCAGAACCCUUUUCUCACCCUCAAAACCAGUUUCUCAAAUAUCAAACCCGGCCCCGGCCCCCAGCGCCCUGCCCCGGCCGCUCCGCGCAGUUCCCACGCACCCGCAGAGGGGUGACAGCCGAGUCGGGGCGGCUUCCCCACGGGGUGAAGGACGGGGAUAAACCGCUCUUAGGUUUACCAACGGGAGAAACUGAACCCACGUGAAGUUUUCGCUCUUUCCGCACAUCCCCUCCCCAGGUGCGUGCGGGGAUAUUUCCAUGCGCACGUCCCCUUCCCAGGUGCGCGCAUCCCCGUUUCUGGGCGCACAUCCCCUUCCCAGCGUGCGUGGAUAUUUCUCGUUUUCAAGUGGGACAAGCGGAGGUGUGGGGGCAGAGCGACAAGCAGAGGGUGCCGGAGCGGGGUUUGGUCGGCUUUUCUCCGCCGCGCUCCACAGGGAGCGGUGCGGGACGGGGCCGGCGGCAGCCCCGGGGCUGAGCCGGGCAGGGAAAGCGCUGCGGGAGCCACCGGGCGACGAGGGGAAGAGAGAAGAGCUGAACGGAGGGGGAGUGAGGAGGGGGAAGAGGAAAAAAAAAAAAACACCACCACGAAAGGAAAGAAGCACAAGCGAUGAGAUGUGCCAAGGUUUAUUCCCUUUUAUUUCCUCCACCCCCACAAAAGAAAAUAAACCUAGAAUCAGGAAGUCGGAGCUGCGGGAGCGCUACUAGAGGCUGCUCCUCCGUAAAGUGGAAUAGGACGUGAAGUGCCACUUGUCUGGGCUGGGAUCUCACUGUAAAUGGUCUGCCACCUCCUGAUUCAACAUUCAAACUUGCCACAUGCUGCUGGUAAUUUCUUUCCUCCUGUGAGGAAAGAAAUUCAGUUGCACAGCCAAUAGGAUAUGAACUGUUAUGAUUAAUUGGGAACUCCAGAACUGAAGUCCAUAAUGACAUACGGUUUGGGAGAUUACGUGCUAAAUGCCUGUGUCUAUCACAGUAUGCUGGAACACAAUGGAUUGCAAAACUGCCACUGAGUGUAUCCUGACUUGCCUCUGUGAUGCAUGUCUUCUGAGAGACGUGUUACUUUUCUCUUUCCAGUCAACUUCCUCUGGACAGUCUUUUUUUGCUGAUUGUUUAACGAGUUACUGUGCUAAUUAGGCUAAGAAAAACGUCACCCCAUUUACUUAUACUAACACAAAAGAGAUGCACGAACACAUGCCUUUAACCACGUAUUAUGUCUGUAAUCAUUUAUUAAGAUGAACUGGGUUACAAGAUAGCUUUUGAGUGAUGUAGCUGGCAUUCUGUUUUGGUUAUAUUUUGUAAAUAAUGCAAAAGAAUACUUUGAGGUAAAUUCAGACAUCCAUACAACUCUACUUAUAGGAUUGGUUCUGUGGCUGUAGCAGAGGUCAGAAACUGAUUUUACAAUGCGACAUUCAUUUCAUUCAAUUCACUUCAAAGACCCUCAUGCUGCAACCUCAUCAACUUUAUGUAUAUAUGAUUCAUUUUCAUUUAUUCAGACAAACUGAAGAAUUUUUAAAAAUGAGACAUCCAGGAAAAAAAUAAAUCAAAUUCUAGGGAUGGAAUAUUUGCAAAGUAACCUUGACUCACAAUAAAGAUCUCAGCUUGCAUUAUAUGAAAGGAAGUGCAAUUAAGACAUUGAAGAAAAGAACCUCAAAUCAAUUUUAUAGAUAAAUAUCAAACAAAAACUUAUGCCUCUAGAUACACAUGUUGAUCAUCAUGAUACCAACAUGGAAAAGAAUGGAGCUUUUAAAAUCUAAUUCAGUGUGACAGUUGAAAAACAAACUAAACAUGGGAAAAAGGAAACAUUUUUUGCGUGUGAAUUCAAAGAAUAAGCUUGACAAAGUCCUGUCCUAACAUGCUGCAAAACAAAUACUUGUAUUACAGAAUUUUUCAUGCAAUUGUUAUUCUAUGUGCUGUACUGAGCAGGAACAUUUCAUACUUAAUUCACCACCUAUCACGUCCUGUCCUUAAAUGAAUCCCCAUAAAACCAAGCAUUUGAUCCUAACUUACCUCCUCCUUCAUUCCUGACAAGGUGAGCAAGGGAAGACGAGGCAAAUUCCCAUUUAAAUUUUCUUUCCCACACUGCAAAUACCUGAUGCUGGUAGUGCAGCACUGCUAAAGCAAAUUACCAUGAAUUCUGUCUUCCCACCUUUUUGAGCAUAAAUGCAUUGUUUUCAUGACAUCUGUACUCUACUUGCCAAGGUCGCAAGAUACUUAGAGACUCUAAGACUGAGGCUUUAGACAUUUAUGAUCACAAGCAGGUCUUUCAGGCUUUUUUUUACACAACAGAACAGUUUCUGAAAGUUUGAAUUCAAAUAUGGCAUUUUUCCUAAAUAGAUGGUCACAUACCCAGCAACUGGAUUUGGUAUAACUCCUUUAAAGAUAAUGUAACUGAGUGAAUUUCAUCUUGGACAUACAAUAUUCCU